UAAUUUCUCAGGGACAAAUCU
rnacentral:siRNA from 1 species